CCUACGGGAGGCAGCAGUGGGGAAUAUUGGGCAAUGGGCGCAAGCCUGACCCAGCAACGCCGCGUGAAGGAAGAAGGCCCUCGGGUUGUAAACUUCUUUUAUCAAGGACGAAACAAAUGACGGUACUGGAUGAAUAAGCCACGGCUAACUACGUGCCAGCAGCCGCGGUAAUACGUAGGUGGCGAGCGUUAUCCGGAUUUACUUGGUGUAAAGGGAGAGUAGGCGGGACUGUAAGUCAGAUGUGAAAACCAUGGGCUCAACCCAUGGCCUGCAUUUGACACUGUAGUUCUUGAGUGUAGGGGAGGCAGGCGGAAUUCCGGGUGUAGCGGUGAAAUGCGUAGAUAUACCGAGGAACACCAAUGGCGAAGGCGGCCUGCUAAACAAUAACUGACACUGAGGCGCGAAAGCGUGGGGAGCAAACAGGAUUAGAUACCCUAGUAGUC
rnacentral:rRNA from 1 species